AAUAGAUACCCAGGUAGUCCACGCCGUAAACGAUGUCGACUUGGAGGUUGUUCCCUUGAGGAGUGGCUUCCGGAGCUAACGCGUUAAGUCGACCGCCUGGGGAGUACGGCCGCAAGGUUAAAACUCAAAUGAAUUGACGGGGGCCCGCACAAGCGGUGGAGCAUGUGGUUUAAUUCGAUGCAACGCGAAGAACCUUACCUACUCUUGACAUCCAGAGAACUUUCCAGAGAUGGAUUGGUGCCUUCGGGAACUCUGAGACAGGUGCUGCAUGGCUGUCGUCAGCUCGUGUUGUGAAAUGUUGGGUUAAGUCCCGCAACGAGCGCAACCCUUAUCCUUUGUUGCCAGCGGUCCGGCCGGGAACUCAAAGGAGACUGCCAGUGAUAAACUGGAGGAAGGUGGGGAUGACGUCAAGUCAUCAUGGCCCUUACGAGUAGGGCUACACACGUGCUACAAUGGCGUAUACAAAGAGAAGCGACCUCGCGAGAGCAAGCGGACCUCAUAAAGUACGUCGUAGUCCGGAUUGGAGU
rnacentral:rRNA from 1 species